rnacentral:rRNA from 1 species
UACGUAGGGUGCAAGCGUUGUCCGGAAUUAUUGGGCGUAAAGAGCUCGUAGGCGGUUUGUCGCGUCUGCUGUGAAAACCCGAGGCUCAACCUCGGGCCUGCAGUGGGUACGGGCAGACUAGAGUGCGGUAGGGGAGAUUGGAAUUCCUGGUGUAGCGGUGGAAUGCGCAGAUAUCAGGAGGAACACCAAUGGCGAAGGCAGAUCUCUGGACCGUAACUGACGCUGAGGAGCGAAAGCAUGGGGAGCGAACAGG